rnacentral:rRNA from 1 species
AGUGAACGCUGGCGGUAGGCCUAACACAUGCAAGUCGAACGGCAGCACAGUAAGAGCUUGCUCUUACGGGUGGCGAGUGGCGGACGGGUGAGGAAUACAUCGGAAUCUACUUUUUCGUGGGGGAUAACGUAGGGAAACUUACGCUAAUACCGCAUACGACCUACGGGUGAAAGCAGGGGAUCUUCGGACCUUGCGCGAUUGAAUGAGCCGAUGUCGGAUUAGCUAGUUGGCGGGGUAAAGGCCCACCAAGGCGACGAUCCGUAGCUGGUCUGAGAGGAUGAUCAGCCACACUGGAACUGAGACACGGUCCAGACUCCUACGGGAGGCAGCAGUGGGGAAUAUUGGACCGUGGGCGCAAGCCUGAUCCAGCCAUACCGCGUGGGUGAAGAAGGCCUUCGGGUUGUAAAGCCCUUUUGUUGGGAAAGAAAAGCAGCAGGUUAAUACCCCGCUGUUCUGACGGUACCCAAAGAAUAAGCACCGGCUAACUUCGUG